rnacentral:sRNA from 1 species
AUAUAGCACCCGUCGGGGGGGAUGAGAAGCCCCGACCGGGGUUCGACAACUGGCGACAGCCAGUUGGACAGAUGACGAGCCUGCGAGGAAUCUGCCCGGAGGGCGAGCGCAGCGAGUCAAUCCCCCCCUCACCGCCA